GAUGAAGAACGUAGCGAAAUGCGAUACUUGGUGUGAAUUGCAGAAUCCCGUGAACCAUCGAGUCUUUGAACGCAAGUUGCGCCCGAAGCCAUCAGGUAGAGGGCACGUCUGCCUGGGCGUCACAUAUCGUUGCCCAAUGCCUAUUGCAGUGCAAUAGGAAUUUCUAGGGCGAAUGAUGGCUUCCCGUGAGCGUUGUUGCCUCGCGGUUGGUUGAAAAUCGAGUCCUUGGUAGGGUGUGCCAUGGUAGAUGGUGGUCGAGUUAGAACGAUACCGAUCAUGUGCAUGCUCCCCAAAAUAUGGCCUCUAUGACCCACACGCGUCUUUUGACGCUCAUGACGAGACCUCAGGUCAGGCGGGGCUACCCGCUGAAUUUAAGCAUAUCAAUAAGCGGAGGA
rnacentral:misc_RNA from 1 species